rnacentral:rRNA from 1 species
GAUGAACGCUGGCGGCGUGCCUAACACAUGCAAGUCGAGCGGAAACGAUCCUAGCUUGCUAGGAGGCGUCGAGCGGCGGACGGGUGAGUAACGCGUGAGAAUCUACCCAUGAGUGGGGGACAACCCGGGGAAACUCGGGCUAAUACCGCAUACGCCCUACGGGGUAAAGCAGGGGACCUUCGGGCCUUGCGCUGAUGGAUGAGCUCGCGUCGGAUUAGCUUGUUGGUGAGGUAAAGGCUCACCAAGGCGACGAUCCGUAGCUGGUCUGAGAGGAUGAUCAGCCACACCGGGACUGAGACACGGCCCGGACUCCUACGGGAGGCAGCAGUGGGGAAUCUUGGACAAUGGGGGCAACCCUGAUCCAGCCAUGCCGCGUGUGUGAAGAAGGCCUUCGGGUUGUAAAGCACUUUCAGCAGGGAGGAAGGCUUACCCCUAAUACGGGUGAGUACUUGACGUUACCUGCAGAAGAAGCACCGGCUAAUUUCGUG